CCCACAGCCUUGGUUUGAGCACCAGUUUAAUUAGACAGACCCCCCUGGUAUGAUACCUUUUAACAAUGACGGUGGAUUUCAAAAAACUGAUUUUUCCUCAUUGCGGGAGGUUUCAUGGUCAUUGCAACUGAUGAGCACGGGGCGUGCCGACAACCAAAUUCUCCCUAUUUUGUAAUAAUUUACAUUGAAAUAUUUAGGGAUCUGGGGAAUGGAAAAAUGUUUCUCCAAGGUCUCCAGAUUUUCAACAUUAACGCUAUGCUGUAGUCCAGCCUCCAUGACAAAUAACAUAUCGUUACUGUGAAAUAGAUAUUUUAGUUGUCACUGAAAAUCAAACGUGAGCCACAAUGCCCAAAAUAACUAUCCAGUUGCCUCCUGUCUAUUUGUUUUCACAAAUGGAAGCAAGGUCUUUCGAACGAAACAGUUGACAUUUAAAGCGCUGUGUGUAGGUGAUCCAGUGAGAAGAGCACCUUAAUUGGCCUCAUUUACUAUUGAUUGAAUUUAAUUGGUCCAACCUGUUUUCAAGUCAAUGCUGUUGCGGCCACAACCUCAGAUUGAUGCACCACUUUACAACACGAUAGUUAUCUUAAUAAUUAUCUUUUUUUCAUCCUGUGUAUUUCUCAUGGCUAUCUUCUACUAUAGGCUGUAAGAAUAAAGUUUAUUUUGGCAUUAUCCUAGGGAGGCUCUCCAUCUUUGUAAUCUUGAACUGCUGGGUGCCAGAGCAUUUUCAUGAACUGAUUACACCCAGUCUGUUCAAUUUUACCGCCACGGAGGCUUCAAAGCACAGAGGGUUCGCUUAAAAUUCACAAACUGGACUCGCACUAAUCCUGUUACACCCUCUCACAUUGCAAACAUGAACAACAGCAUAUUUGAAAACUAUUGGGAACAUUGAAAAUGUGGAUUUUGGGUAGAAUGUUUUACUAAAGACGGUUUUAUUUAAGCAAUAAGGUACGAGAAGCUGUACUUUAUCGUCCAAUAAUGUAACAGUUCGCGGGUGUUGUUAGCGGAGGGCCGGCAACCCUCGAACUGUUACAUUAUUGAAGAUAAAGUACUGCCUCAGGUAACUUAUUGUUUUUAUAAUACGGUUACCAGCGAAUAUUAUAAAUAGUAAGUAAAUAGCUGCCUUUCAGCACAAAAUAGUAUCAGCCAUCGAACGUUGUGUAUCGCAUUUCAGUAGUCUAGAGAUAUAUUCGUGCAUGUAAACAACAUUGGGUCUCCUUGCAAGAUCUCGCACCAUCUCAUUCAUUCACAUCGCUCAUGACGUCCACCUGAAUUGUCCGGUUGCGAAAGCUCGCUUUGCCCGAAACUGAUCAUUUGUGGCUUUUUCUGUCUUUUUUCGGCGAUCGCCACCGAGCUAGAAGCUAUUUUAUUAUAAUAAAAGUUGGAAUAAAGCUACACUAAAGUAAUAAACUACAUUGUAUAACAAGUAUUGAUGUAUUUAUGUGUAAGAAUUGCUUCGAUGUGUCAGUUGGUAAAGUGAAUACUCAAAUAAAACCUCAGCACCUCAUAAUUGUACUUUACUUGAGUAAAUACAGUAACUCUCCAUCACUCAUGAGUAUUCAUGUUAGACGGCAAAAUGAGCUGUUUAAGAUGGAUUAAUACACUGGACUUCUAUCAUACAGGCCAUACAGAAAACGGCCACAGCUGGCUGUGAUGUGACGUAAUGAUAGCUUUAAUUUGGAAAAAAUAACUUUGUAUCAGUGGACGCUUGUCAGAUUAACUCAAAUCCCCUUUGAGAACGAAUGUGCUUGGAGAGAGUGCUGACUUUAAGAACUUUACCUUUACAACGGAAAAAGAGGUUUUUUAAGUGCUGUGGUGGCAGACUGUUGUUUCAAACCAAGAGAAUUUCUGAUCAAAAUAUUUAAUUUAUGUGUUGACUCAGUUAGAAAGUCACUGAGACCCCUCCCGGUAUGAGUUUACUGUACAGCGGCUCGCUGUAUGAGUGCACAUGUAUUUCCCGUUUUACUCCUCACAGCUCUGCACGCGGCAGAUGCUGAAUGAACUAAUGCACACACAGAGCUCAGCUCAGCUCGCCUCUGAGCUCAGAACAGUGUUAAAAUCAGAAGUGAAUGACAUUUAAAGGAUUACCAGACACCGAGAUCUAAAUGGUUGACUUGAUAACAGUCUGGAAGUGAAAUUCUCCCAGAUCUUCAUCUAGCUUUGCUUCUCAGAGCAUGAGAUUAGACAUUAAUACGAUCCUUGAUUGCGAACAUGAAAAUAAGUCACUCUGAUACUUAUCACCAGGAGACUGAAAGCAACAACAUAUGAAAACACUUUCUGUAUUAAUCAGUCUUAAACUGAUAAGUGUAAUAAUAGAAGGGAAGUUUUAGAUCACAUCUACAUGGAUGGUAGCUGUCUCGGGUAUUGUUCUUUUCUUCCAUCUCUUUUGAAUGUUUUUGUCUUUACAUAAAAGUCCAUCAAACAACUAAGUGGCCUGUUUAUUUGAUAAUACAAAUGCUUCAUCUUGCUCAGUAGCUUGGAGUCUAUGGGAGUGGGGAAAUAUAUAUAUUACGACUGAUUUUGUACUCAAAAGCCAAGCUUAGCACAAAGGCUGGGAACAAGUGGAAACAGGUAGCAUGGCAUAGUCCAAAGCUAACCACAUCCACCAAGCAGCACCUCUGAAGCUCACAGAUUGACACAUUGUAUUACAGCUGCCUGCAGCUAAAGAUUUACCCUACAGAUAUUCAGCUUUAUUCUGACUAUUCUUUUUUUCUUUGUUGCUAACUACUUAUUUGUGUAUGGAGCAACAUAAAAGCGCUAUAGAAAUGAAUAGUGAAACUAUCACCUCAGAAUUGCCAGAAUAGAUGAACAAUGUAUGGUAACAGCUCAGAUUAAGGUUGAUCAAAUUAUGUAAAUGUAGUUCUAAAAAAAGAUUUCAAUAAUAAAUUGUUUCCAAAAACUUAAUUUCACAAAUUCACAAAAUUAUUUCUGAUUGCAUAUUUAGUAGAUCUGACUUUGAACAUAGAAUUAUUAUGUUUUAUGUGCAAAUCAAGUACAAAUUUGUCAGGGUUGAGGGUGGAAGGCAGGACUCAAACGCAGACUUGCGGCAAACAAAAGACUUUAAUAGUCACAAGGAUCAAAAAACACCGGAACUGGGGGCAAACGCACACAGGCAAGAGACUACGACGAUCCAAGACGAAAGACAAUGACGCGACAAGAGACACACUGCUUAAAUACACAAGGGAGGUGCAGGUGAUUGGACACAGGUGGAAACUAUUAGACGAACACAGGGGAUGACGAGACAAGGCAGGAAGUGAAGUUACCCGGGGACACGAGUGGCAGAAAACUACAAAAUAAGACAGGAAGUGAACCACACCGUGACAAAUUAUUGACUUAUUUUUUCAUUUGGACUCGCACCCACCAUGCAUUGCAACAUGUACUGUUCAAUGUAGUUGCUGUGCUGUCUUCUAUUUCAAAUAAUUAAAAGCAAGUAAAUAAGCAAGCAUAUGACCUCUACGGUUUUCUUUGAGAAGUUUUGGAUCGUUAAUAAAUGUUUGAGAGAUGAGUGUGAGUCCAAAUGUAGUAAUAUCCUAAAUGUAAUUCUACGUCUAAUGCUUUUUAUUGUGGGCUCUUAGUCACCUGAACCAUUGAGCAUUUUAAGGGAGCACUUUCCUCAAUGACCAGACGCCCAUUUGUUAAACUAAUUAUAUCCAAUGUCUUCAUUUGUGCAAACACGCAUUACAGAUGAGCUCACAGGUUACGUGGGGACGGUCGCUGCCCAUUAGUAUAAUGUGCAGCUUUGUCCAUGUUUGAAUUUGCUUAGAACGCAACUUGUUGUUGAAUAAAGAGAUUUACUCACACUCACUAUGGCUACGUUUGGAGAAAAUUGGCAAUACUACGAUAAUUAUUAUGAGCCUGCAGGAGGGGCGACACCCUUUUUCCUCAUUCUGGUGAAGCACGGCAGCCGAGCCCUCGCCGGAGCUGCUUUAUAGAUGCCCUUGAUAAAAACAUACACAACCGUUGGACUGCCUGUGAUGAGAACUCCCCCGACCUUAAUUAGCUGUGUUCAUGGCAUCGCAUGAACCCAUUACGGAGAUUUUAAAGCAUAUCCCUUUCAUUUCUCCACAUUUGUCUAAACCCCUGCUCCGCGGCUAAUGAGAGCCAGAGAGAACUGGUGGGGGGGCUGUUUGGUAGCUGGAAGUCAGUCACCAACCAUAGAAGUAACAAAAUAGAAGGAUUUGCCCUGCAGUCACCUUCACUGACUGAAUUUGAAGACUACCACAACUCUUCAGAAUUUGACUUUAUCUGCAUUAUGCAUGGCGGCUAUUAUGCGGAUCGAAUGCAGAGCACUCAGAUUUGCUGAAUAUUGAUGAUUGUGUUGUAGGUUUUUGUAUGGAUCCGUGCACAUGUGUGUGAUUCUAAACGUGUAAAACAGGCAGAAUAAUUAUAUGAACGCUUGUGCAACGCUGUGCAGUAUUUGCACGGGUUUGCGCACGCCGUCUUUGGUGUGUGUGUGUGUGUGUGUGUGUGUGUGUGUGUGUGUGUGUGAGAGAGGCAAAAGGAAGAAGCUCUACAACCAUCCCAAUAUCAAAGCAGGUGAUACUUCAGCUGUAGAUUUCUCCCCCAGGGCGGACUGAGCCGAGUUGACCCUGGAGUGGCCAUCCACUGCAUUCCUUUGAGUACACUUCAGCCAUGAUAACACUUCACCGACCUCUUUCAUCUAUCAGCAGCAAGCUGUGAGGCUGCUAACUUCACUUCCUGCUGCUAGUCAGAGCACAAUUUGUUGUGGAUUAUUGAGUCUUUAGAAAAACUGGAAUCCUAGGCCUAUUUUUAUUCAUGCUUGCAUCUUUAAAAAAAAAAACAGUCACAGUCAAGUGAUGCCCUUGAACAAUGUUUAGUUGAGAAGCUACGAUUCCUUCCAGCUUCAAAUACCUCGGUGUAAUCUUAGGCUCAACACAUUCAGCAAGUUGUUGCAAAAACAAGAUUCAACCUUAACAAUGUUUGAUUCACUUGACAACACAAUAUACCCCAAGCUGUUAAGAUUUCAUGUGACACACCGUAUAUUCACUUUGUCUCUUACCGCAGAUAGAAUAUAGAAACAACAUCUUUGACAGCAAGAGCCCUGCAUUGUCAUGCAUGUCAUAGUGACGCGCCAACCAUUCUUUUACACGUAAUCUCAAAUCAUCAGUCUGUGCUCUGACUUGCUCUGUGUGUUCUCUUUCGCUUUGCUUUUUGUCUGUUUGUCAGAUUGUAUCUCUUUCUGUUCUAGCAGUCUUCUGUAAUGUGAUUUUAUGUUAUCAUGUUUAACCAUUUUUGUGGAUUGUCUGCAUAAUAAUAUUUUGCCUACCCUGCCUAGUUUGCAUGAUAUUGAUUUGCUGUUGUAUGUUUUACUUUCUUAUGUUCUGAUUUGAUAAGUAUUUUAUUAUUUCAUGUUUUAAAGGUUUUGAAAACUGACAUUGAGGCUCCAGAUGGCAACAGACUACAUAUCUCUUUGCUCACUCCUCCAUUUCAAAACAUGUUAGGAAACUACGGUGGCCUUCAGUGCAAGUGCUUAUCCUUUAAAGAUCAAUUAAACAUCGAGCUUUGGACAACAGUUGAAAGUCAGCCUCUUGGCUUAUAAUGUGACAUAUAACUUUUCAUUUAAAAAUGUCCCAUUAACAGUGAUAUAUAUAAAUGUACAUUAAAAUAAAUAGAUUAAAUAAAAUACAUAAUUCAUCCAAAACAGACUUAACCCUAUUUGCAGUUAAAAUACAUAUAUUUUGCAUCAUAUAUUUUCUUGCAUUUGCUAUAAAUACAUUAACAGCUGUUACCAGACCCGGAAGCCCGGAAGUUUUUCUGUCUGCUCACACAAUGUUCACAAACUAAAAUCUUGAAAAGAACUUGAGCUGCAUUGACUGUAAUGGAAAAUGACUGACAGCACAUGAUUCUCUGAUUACACGCUUGACAGCUCCCACUUAUUGAAAAUGAUGAGGACAGAUGUUUGCUCUGACUCACACCAAUUAGGUUUUGACUUCAUGAAAACGAGAAAUUAAUUGAGCGAACUGAAAUAUGGAAAAAGAUUGUUUUCUUCCUAUAAGGUCUGUGUGUUUAUUUGACACAGGCAUGCAUGCCUCAAGUUAUGCAUGUGUCCUUCACACAGUUCAUCUUUCACAUAAACAAAUCUGGUGUCAAAGGUCCUCUUCAUAAAAUACUGAUGGAUUUGCUUUGAAUGAACCGAGAUCCAGCAACGAUGAUUACUGACAUUAUUGCAAUCAGUGAAUCAAUGUGAUUUAUGACAUUUGCAUUUUCCAAUUUUGUGUUGGAUUAUUUGGACUUUUAUGAGUUAAUUGACUGAUGGUCUUUUUUUGAAUGUUUGCUUAUUUGCAAAAUUAACUACAAUGCUUGACAGCUAGCUUGCUAACAAUAUUUAAUCAAAAUGCGUGAAAAUCUUUAAUGUGAUGAAUGUCUGAUCACAUAUUAUUGGCUUCAACUGUCUUUUUCCCAAUAUUUAUUAACGUCCUUCAGGAAUUAACACAUUUUUUCUGUGCAUUUAACUAAUUUAACUAAACUUUGUUUCCAAGACAAAUUAAUGACAGACAGACUAUGGCAGCAGCUCUAAAAUGAGUUUUGAGAUUUAUUUUCAAAAACCUCAUUUUGAAAAUCUUUAACAACCACUAUGAGUGCAAAGAGAACCCAACGGGGCCAGGUCAUGAAUUUUAAUUGAACUAAAUAAAUUGAAUGUAGCGUUUCAGGAAAUAAAAAUGAUUCAUGUGCCUCAUCAAAACAAACAGCAAACAAUGUCAAUUAAAGAGUCCUGCUACUGAAAUAAAUUCUCCAACUUCAGCCACUGAAUAAACCAAACUGUGACUACUGCACCGUAGAUGAUGUGAACACCUCACACAUGCACACUACAAUGCCUGAGUGGCACUGCUGGUGAUGAAUGUGCUCCAAAACACGCAACAACCUCCACACAAAGCCUCCGGGGGCUCCCAGAUGACACUGCGACUUGGGGGGGCCCUCACCAGGAAAGCUCAGACAAUCAAUGAAGAUGGGGAAUUAUACAAGAUGGUCGGUGUCACCUGGGUGAUUUUGUUUACCUAAGAACUUGUGCAUGCGGGGCUGCUGCGAUGAUUACGGGGGUUAUGAUUGUUGUUAUCCACGGUCAUUGUGCUCAACCCGCUGUCAGUUUCAAUUACCGCUGUCUGCGGCUCCAAAUCCUCACACAAUCUGUACAGCCCCCCCCUGACAGUCUUCUUACCGUUAAAAGAAAAUCCAUACACAUCAGGUUCUCUUUGUGUCUUUCCUCUCCAAACAGCAUGACGGGGAGGGGAGGGCAAUUUCAUGUUAUGACUCGUGGGUCAUCGGGGCCCCUGUGUGUGGGUUGACCCUCUUCCCUUCACAUUUUGAAAGACACACAAAUGUCUCUUGGGGUGAGGAUGAGCAAUUCAAGUUUCGAAGUUCAAGUUGUGCGCCUUUGAUGUGCAGCAGCAGAGCUAGAGAGGCACCGUCGCAUAGGCCCGGAGUGGCAGGUGUGUUUAGGUGAGCUCACUGACCUCUCAAUGGUGGAGAUCUGCCUUCUGUAAUUAGUCUGUGUUCCAUUUACUUCGUCAUCCAUUUGUCUGCCGGUAUCCCGACAGCCAAAGAUGUAUUAUUGAUCUGUGGUUUGCAGAUAUAAAAGGCCGAUUUGAUAGGCAUGCAGUAUGAGUCUGAUGCCCAGUGAACAUUAUACAGGUAAUUCUUGUUAAGUACCAUGGACGGAUUGAUCCAUGAGAUUGAUGCAGAUUUGUCAUAAAUCCUGAAAUGAACAAGAUUGCCACAUUUCCAUAUGCUGCGGCAGUAACUCUGGCGCAAUCACAGUAUAUAGCGAUCCUUAGCUGGCUUAUACCCCUUUCAGGACACUUGUAAGCGCAGGAAAAAGACAAGCAUCACCCUAAUUAAAUCCAAGGGUGUUUUUCCACUCGCUAUUUGUAGAAUAAUGAACUCAAAGUCCUCACAUGGGGGAUAGGAUCUUUGUCAUUUUUUCACGUACUCCAAAAAUGUGAAAAAAUGUCUUAUUUCACUGAAAUAAAUUAAUUGCAUUUGUGUUUUUCCCCUCAGGCAAGGUUCACUCACAACGGUUUUAUCCUCCAACACAGUGGAAUACAUAUAUAAUGCAUGCGCUUCGCAUUGCACAACAGUACAGUAAUAUAGAAAGUAAUUAGGAAAACAUUUUUUAAAUUCAGAGUGCUUAUCAGAGUUUUUUUUUUUAAAGUGGCGCAGACGAUCGGAUGAUGGCAGGGGAAGGUGUGUGGAACAAAGGGGGGCGAGUACAAGGGAAGAGCGACUGAGAAGAGAUAAGGUGGGAUUGGUGCUGUCACAGUCACACAGAAGGCAGGUGGAAAUUCUUCCGCUUCACCACAGAGAGACACAACAACGCAUCCUGCUUUCUGUGACUGUGCACAGUUUCAUCAUAACAUGCAGAGAGCAUCCUGCAGGUGUAUUUAACCCUCUGAAACAGAUAAAAUGCUAUUUUUUUAACAUUUAACAUUGUGCCUGCCUCAUCCAGUUAUCUGAGAGUCAAAUGGAAGCUUGCAUAAGAAAAGUCCCUGAUUAGUUUCUGCCUUUCAAAACAAGGCACUUCACACAAAUAAAUGUGUUUGGUUCUCCCCAAGCAGCUCCUAACCAUGUCAUUACUUCUUCAUCCAUUCACAGAUGGCUACCCUCAGCUUCCCCGAGAGGAUUACAAUUAUCAAGAGGUGCAUUGCUUUAUAGUCUCACUCUUUUAGACAAAUUAAUGUCGGGGAAUAACCGAAAAUGUCUGUUUAUUUUAAGGCUGCUCCCAAGCAACGGGUCUAUUAUUGAAUCAAGCUGUUGGAUAAGUGCUUUAUUUUAGCUUCUUUGAAGUUGUCAAUGACAUUAGCCUCUGGCUGUGACAUUAGGUGGAUCUCACGCCUGGACUCCGUGGUAAUAUCACUGACCUAAAAUACUUUCUCUAAUCUCAUAUGACUCUAAUGUUACCAGAGUCAAGGCCUUAUUUCUCGGCGAGAAGGUUGCCUGAGCACUUGAGCCGAUGAGUCAAGCAACAGCAAAAGGGAAUUACAGGUUCAGAUCCCCUGGCAGUGUACCUGGGCCAUGUUAGGGAAGAACAUGCUCCACUCUAGUGCCCAUUUACUUCACAGAUAUGAGCUGCUCAGCUUUUACUGAAUGUUUACUCCUCAGGGAAUCCUGUUAAAGUUCAGGUCACUUCUUCCCCAGCUCAGUUGCUGCUGCACCAGUCACCUUCCUUUUCCGCCCAGCGCAUCCAAACCUUGGUAACAUCACCGUCACCCUUUGGGUCUGAUCAAAGUCACAACAUUUUAGAAUGUAGGUUUUGUGUUUUAAAGCACUGAGAUUGUGUUGGAACAAACACAAAAAUGGUGCAAGAGUAAUCAACCAACGCACUUCACCUUUUCCUUAUGCUCUUAUCCAAAGUCUUCACAGUAGAUUAGAUGUGGUAUUGACGAAGCCUUACAUUUUGACAGAUUAUUAUCCAGCUAUUUAUCCAAUCAGAAUAAGGAUAUCUUAAUUUUCUUCCCUUAUUUACAUCAGGUGCACAAGUAUGUUUUAUUUUGGUUAAUUGACAGAGAUGCAGUGGAAAAUGUCAGACUUCAUCCAGUGAACGUUUUACUUCCAUACUGUAUACAUGUUGCUCUGAUCCUGUAGAGAUUUAUGGGGCCAGAUGUAGACUGAAAGAAAAACCAGCAGACUUCUUGAGGCCUUUUCAUAUAUUUCAGGCUCGUACUUUAAAAAUAAAAAUAAUUAAUUAAUUAUUAAAAAUAAUGCCUAAAUUAAACAUCAGUCAAACAAUAUGGCAGUGAAAAGAAGUGCUAUUUUUAGAAAUGAUUCACAUACAACAUGAUUUAUCUUAAUGUUUUAGGUCCUAACAAAGAAAAGGAAUUGCAUCUUAAGUAGGGUUAGUGGAUUCAUUUUGGAGUAACUUACAUUAUUAAGCUGUUUGAUAAACAGCAAUUGCAUGUAAUGCCAGUUGACAUUUCUGUGGCGGAAUCAGUCUUAAAAGGAGAGAAGAUUUUAGUUUCACACCAAACUGUACCACUUGUAACACAACAAAAGACAUUGACUUAUCAAUGCAGUUUCAAUUACAUUUCAUUUUAUUAAUGGGUUUUACUCGAGUUAAGUAAAUAAUAUGUUCUAGAUCAUGACUUGGAUCUCCCAUCAAAAUAUAAUGAUAUAUUUGUAUUUUCAAAAUCUUCCCUUAUGCUUCCCAAAAUCUGCAUUCAUCUAAUUUAUUUAUCAACGUCAAAUAUGUUAGCUGGUCAAAACAAGGAUUCUUUACUCUCAUAAAUAAGCAAAAGACAACUAGCAAGAUUGUUUGCGGUCUGCUCCCCUUCCUGCUUUAGAUUUACACAGAGCCUGCAGCAAGGGAUCCCCACCACCCCAACCCACAGUCUGUUUCUCCCUCGGCCGUCUGGUAAAGAGCUACAGGAGCAUCUGUGCCAAAUCCUGCUGAAUGCUAAACAGUCGGUAUAAGCAGUCAGCUCCAUCGACAGCCCCCCCGCCCAAACAUCCUUUUGUAUGUGUUUCUAGUUGUAUCGUUUGAAGGGGAUUGGUGUGCUUUUCGUAUUUUCUUGUUGCACUGCUGUUCGCUGGGAGGAAUUCAGCGUUUUUUAAAAACAAUAACCAAAAUCUUAAAUACAUUGACGUUAGUUUGUCAUCAACUAAUAAAAACAACAUUGCAUCACACAAUGCAUUACAUUCAACCUUUUCAGUCUACAGCGCACGUCUCAGAUUUCACAGCUCCAGUGAGUCAUCCUGACGUGUGUCUGCGUGAGUGCCUCUGUAAUUCAUUAACAUUAACAAGCGGGCCCAUAAAAUUUUCGUGGUUAACAUCACAGACUGAGAAGCAGCAGCGACCAGCAAUCUGCUCCUCCUCCUCCUCCCUGACAACGACGACAGCAGCAGCAGCUGCAGCAGAUGCAGAUUCUCCGCUCUGCUCUCGACACUGAUCGUGUGCGCAAACGUAAACUCGUGGUGAAUCCGCAGCUUUGCCUCUCGGCCCCGACAGGGAGCAAAUGUCACAUGCAUGCUUUUCACCCAGUCCUCUGGACAGGACAGUGAGGCACACAACAAAUCUGCUUAGUUACUUUAUCAUGACGUGUUACCCAUGGGACAUGACACUUGUCAAAGUACAUAUUGGGAGAAAACUCCCGCGAGGCUGCGUUACUACGAUUUUGUGACCUUUCUAGAAUGUGCCUCAUUUAAGUUGUGACCGCAAAGUUUGGCUCCUUUUUAUAUGAACAGAAAAGCAGCCAGAAGAUAUUAGCAUCACUGUGCAGAUUAACCUUAGAAAUGACUUCCACCUUUAACUGCAUAUGUUUAACAGCAGAUCUUGUUUUAGAGAGUGUUUUGCUUUGAGGGUUCUGGGGUUCCUGAAUCCGAAUCCACUGUUCAAACAUUUGAAAGAAAAUAAAUAGACACGCAGGCCGUAAGUACACUUGCCCGAAUACACUCAAGGCCAAUAUUAUUUGACGUUUGAUCAUAGCUACAUUUAUCCUUUGCUCCCACAUGGUGCGAAUCAAUUAGCCGCUGUGGUUGGAUCACGUCGCGGCUCUUAGAGGCAGCGCUAUGGAUAGAUUAGGGUUAUGAAUACCUUUGAAGACAAGCUAGGCUAAAAGAGGUUGGCCAAAAGGCAAAUUCAGGACUAACCUGGUUCUGUACAUAGAACAUUGGUCAAUUGCCCGGGAAGGGAGGACAGAUGACCACUCGGCUAAUUUUGUAGCAACGAGAGCCAGUUUGGAGACCACCCUCGAAUGAGGGCUGAGGGUAAAAUCCAUUUCAACUGGAGCUGGAAUGACCUCCCGAGGACACAAUGGCGCCCUAUUACAAGCACUCUGGUGUUAUAACUGUGGGUUCACACAAUGAAAAAAAACUGCGAGCGGCGUUCGCCUGCAAUCAAGACUUGAAAGGCAGCCUGUUCUGCUGUCCUGCUGGCCAUUUAAGUGCAGUGCAGUCAAAGCGCUUUGUCUCUUUCACCGCAGGGACGCAGUGAUGGCAGCCAUUACAAGUGUUAGAUACGAGAUAAAGUGGACCUCUCAAACUGCAAGGGUAUUGAUAGAAAAAAGUUGGAUAAUCAUCGGACAUCGAUAUAAUAUCUGACAUAUUCACAGUGAAUAUUUGUAAUAGGUAAUGAUGUUAUUUGGUGACUGAAUGUCAGCAGCUGCACGUGCUUCUAUGUCAAUUUUCUUCU
ensembl:lncRNA